GAUGAACGCUGGCGGCGUGCCUAAUACAUGCAAGUCGAGCGAACAGAUGAGGAGCUUGCUCCUCUGACGUUAGCGGCGGACGGGUGAGUAACACGUGGAUAACCUACCUAUAAGACUGGGAUAACUUCGGGAAACCGGAGCUAAUACCGGAUAAUAUAUUGAACCGCAUGGUUCAAUAGUGAAAGACGGUUUUGCUGUCACUUAUAGAUGGAUCCGCGCCGCAUUAGCUAGUUGGUAAGGUAACGGGUUACCAAGGCAACGAUGCGUAGCCGACCUGAGGGGGUGAUCGGCCACACUGGAACUGAGACAGGGUCCAGACUCCUACGGGAGGCAGCAGUAGGGAAUCUUCCGCAAUGGGCGAAAGCCUGACGGAGCAACGCCGAGUGAGUGAUGAAGGUCUUCGGAUCGUAAAACUCUGUUAUUAGGGAAGAACAAAUGUGUAAGUAACUAUGCACGUCUUGACGGUACCUAAUCAGAAAGCAACGGCUAACUACGUG
rnacentral:rRNA from 1 species